rnacentral:rRNA from 1 species
AGAGUUUGAUCAUGGCUCAGAGCGAACGCUGGCGGCAGGCCUAACACAUGCAAGUCGAGCGGCCGUAGCAAUACGGCAGCGGCAGACGGGAGAGUAACACGUGGGAACGCGCCCUUCGGUCCGGAAUAACCCAGGGAAACUUGGGCUAAUACCGGAUACGCCCUUACGGGGAAAGAUUUAUUGCCGAAGGAACGGCCCGCGUCCGAUUAGCUAGUUGGUGAGGUAACGGCUCACCAAGGCGACGAUCGGUAGCUGGUCUGAGAGGAUGACCAGCCUCACUGGGACUGAGACACGGCCCAGACUCCUACGGGAGGCAGCAGUGGGGAAUAUUGGACAAUGGGCGCAAGCCUGAUCCAGCCAUGCCGCGUGGGUGAUGAAGGCCCUAGGGUUGUAAAGCCCUUUCAGCGGGGAAGAUAAUGACGGUACCCGCAGAAGAAGCCCCGGCUAACUUCGUGCCAGCAGCCGCGGUA